CAAGGAAUUUUCGGCAAUGGGCGCAAGCCUGACCGAGCAACGCCGCGUGGAGGAUGACGGCCUUCGGGUUGUAAACUCCUUUUGCGGGGGAUGAUAAUGACCGUACCCCGCGAAUCAGGCUCGGCUAACUCUGUGCCAGCAGCCGCGGUAAGACAGAGGAGCCAAGCGUUGUCCGGAUUGACUGGGCGUAAAGCGCACGCAGGCGGUUGCGCGCGUGGGGUGUGAAAGCGAGCCGCUUAACGGCUCGAGG
rnacentral:rRNA from 1 species